rnacentral:rRNA from 1 species
GCCCUUAGAGUUUGAUCAUGGCUCAGAACGAACCCUGGSGGCGUGGAUGAGGCAUGCAAGUCGAACGGAGUUCAAGAUGUUAGCAAUAACGACUUGAACUUAGUGGCGKAAGGGUGAGUAACACGUGGGUAACUUACCCUCGACUUCGGGACAACUCGGGGAAACCUGAGCUAAUACCGGAUUCGGCUCGGAGAAGGCAUCUUUUCCGAAUCAAAGGUUUACUGGUCGAGGAGAGGCCCGCGUCCUAUUAGCUUGUUGGUGAGGUAACGGCUCACCAAGGCUGUGAUGGGUAGCCGUGCUGAGAGGUUGUUCGGCCACACUGGGACUGAGACACUGCCCAGACUCCUACGGGAGGCUGCAGUCGAGGAUCUUUGUCAAUGGGCGCAAGCCUGAACAAGCGACGCCGCGUGAGCGAUGAAGGCCUUCGGGUCGUAAAGCUCUUUCAGCAGGGACGAAAAAAAUGACGGUACCUGCAGAAGAAGCCCCGGCUAAUUACGUGCCAGCAGCCGCGGUAAUACGUAAGGGGCAAGCGUUGUUCGGAUUUACUGGGCGUAAAGGGUGCCUAGGCGGCAUGUUAAGUCGGAAGUGAAAUCCUCUGGUCCAACUGGAGAACUGCUUUCGAAACUGGCGUGCUUGAGUACGGGAGAGGAGAGCGGAAUUCUCGGUGUAGCGGUGGAAUGCGUAGAUAUCGAGAAGAACAUUCGUGGCGAAGGCGGCUCUCUGGAACGAUACUGACGCUGAAGCACGAAAGCCAGGGGAGCAAACGGGAUUAGAUACCCCGGUAGUCCUGGGCCCUAAACGAUGUACACUUGGUGUAGGAGGUAUCGACCCCUCCUGUGCCGAAGCUAACGCAUUAAGUGUACCGCCUGGGGAGUACAGUCGCAAGUCUGAAACUCAAAGGAAUUGACGGGGGCCCGCACAAGCGGUGGAGCAUGUGGUUCAUUUCGAUGCAACGCGAARAUCUUUACYAGGGCUUGACAUGCAGCUGCACGACCCGGGAAACCGGGUCUCCUUUCGACGGUGCUGCACAGUGCUGCAUGUCUGUCGUCAGCUCGUGUCGUGAGAUGUGGGUAGUCCCGCACGAGCGCACCCCUUG